rnacentral:tRNA from 1 species
CCCGUCGUAGUUUAGUGGUAGAACGACCGGCUGUAGACCGGUAGAUCCCCAGUUCAAAUCUGGGCGACGGGA